ensembl:snoRNA
UCGGCCCUGAUUCAAGGCCAGCAGUUUGCUGAAGAUGUCGGUUUCAAGCAGGAGCCUAAAAAAGAGUAUUCUUAUGGUCUGUUGGUCAUUUCAGGACUUUGGAAAUGUAAUGGCCUAUUCGUGAGGAAGAAACAUUU